GCGAGUGAACCGGGAUGAGCUCAAAUUUGAAAUCUGGCGUCUUUCAGGCGUCCGAGUUGUAAUCUAUAGAGGCGUUUUCCGCGCCGGACCGCGUCCAAGUCUCUUGGAAUAGAGUAUCAAAGAGGGUGACAAUCCCGUACUUGACGCGACAACCGGUGCUCUGUGAUACGUUCUCAAUGAGUCGAGUUGUUUGGGAAUGCAGCUCUAAAUGGGUGGUAAAUUCCAUCUAAGGCUAAAUAUUGGCGAGAGACCGAUAGCGAACAAGUACCGUGAGGGAAAGAUGAAAAGCACUUUGGAAAGAGAGUUAAACAGCACGUGAAAUUGUUAAAAGGGAAACGAUUGAAGUCAGUCGUGUGGGAAGUAUUCAGCCGUCUCUGGCGGUGUAUUUGCUUCUCACGGGUCAACAUCAGUUUGAUCCGGUAGAAAAAGGCGGGAAGAAGGUGGCACCCUCGGGUGUGUUAUAGCUUCCUGUCAUAUGUGCCGGACCAGACUGAGGAACGCAGCUUGCAGCAAUGCCGGGGUUCGCCCACGUACAAGCUUAGGAUGUUGACAUAAUGGCUUUAAACGACCCGUCUU
rnacentral:rRNA from 1 species